AUGGGCCGAGAAGGAGCCCUUGAGAUGUUUUCCCUUGUCGGUCAACAUGGAUCCUUUGCCCUCUACCAUACCUCUCUGAAGAAUAGUUCGCAGCAGUGGAAGCUAGAGAAGAUCACACAGCUUCCUGGGCAGUAUCAUUCCAUUUGCACAAUGCGUGCAGCCGAGGGAUUCUUGUUCUUCCGAGGCGCUCCAGAAGGUAUUCAUGUUGGGAAUGUGGAUUGCUACUCAAUGGAGGUCAAGACUUAUGAUAUUACCAAAGUCUGCACAAAGAUGGAGAAUACCUUCAAUCCUAGACGUGCCCUCCCAUACUUUAGCUUCCCACCGCUGUUAUCGGAACCAACUAUCUGA
rnacentral:rRNA from 1 species